GAGGCCGGAGGUCAACGUCCGACAGCGCGUCCGCGCCCUCGGGCGCACUCGUC
rfam:Methylobacterium sp. Leaf456 contig_2, whole genome shotgun sequence.